rnacentral:rRNA from 1 species
AUGAAGAUCAAAGGGCCAGCAGGAAGACAGCCAAUGUCCAAAGCCAGAGCAUCAACUCAAGUACCUGAGAUGCCUGAAGAGCCAGGUGCAGAAGGAAAGAAAAGGAAGGAAAGGGUCAAGAAGACCAUGGCCAGAGUUGUUGGUCAACCUUCCAUGAUGGAAGAGGAAGAAGAGGUUGCUGCACCAGCACCAAAGGCACAAAAGCUUAUGGGUGAUGCUAUAAAGUCAGGGGCUGCAACAUCAAAGCCCAAAGAAGCACCCAAAGCUGCCCCCAAGCCCAAGAUUGCAUCAAAGAGAAAUACCAGGAGUAUACCAGCAGCUGAGAAGAAUAAGGCCCCAAUGCCUGAGGUUGCUGCUAAGGAAGACGAGGAAGGGCAGAUCCUAAGAAAGCUCAAACCCAAGAUUCUAGACCAGAAUGAUGCUCAUCCUGUGGCUGAGAACAUGAAGAUCAGGAAAGACUCAGGGUUGAGGCUAUGGAGAUUGUCUGAUCCAUAUGCCACCAGGAGGAGGACUGCUGUAGAUUACAGGUUCCACACCAAGGAGCAGCAGGACUUCUGUGAGACAAUCUUGUUGGACAAGAAGCCCAUAGUGUGUGAUAUGAGGUGGGUCGACUGGACCUACAUGAAGGAAAAUGAAGAACACUAUCCUGGAGUGCAAGACAGUUUCAUUGCUUGUGGAGUUGCAUAUUUUGUUGGGCAGAAGCUCACCAACUGGAAUGAUGAACUCAUUAUGCAAUUCUACUCCACAACACAUUUCUAUCCAGAUGGCAGGAUAGUUUGGAUGUCUGAAGGAACAAGAUACCGGUCAACCAUAGAGGAAUGGGCAAGUCUGAUCAAAGCCCCAAAGGAGAGUGAAUAUGACUUGGAUGUAUAUGCCAAGAAGAAGAUGUGA